UUGGCAAAGUUUUUUUGAAUCAAUUUUUUGGCCAAAGCCUGAGGCCUGGCCCUCGGCAAAGAUUUUUUAUUUUUUUAGCUCAUUUUUUAUGGUAAUAUAAUACACAGUUUUAAACUUAAUUUUAAAAUUUAGGCCAAUUUUGAGUUUUUAUAUAUUUUCUUAAUUUAUUUCGAUUCAUUGAUUUUUUUCGAAUAUUUCAAAUUUGAACAGUAGGUGUAUGGAAUAAUACAAUGUAGUGUUUCAAAAAAUAUUAUUCAUGGUAUUUGGUGUAUGUUGAGUCCCUAUCCACGAACUCGCAUCAAAUUUUGCGCAUCUUAUUCGCAUAACAUGACGAGCCACUUGUCAGAAAAGUGUUUUUUAAAAUUAUAUAAAAUUUAUACAAAGUUCAAAAAUCACGAAACUUGUUGAGGUGUCAUGUUAUCCCAUGUGUAGAUUGUGGUAAAAAUUUGAGAAGAUUUUGAGUGAGUUGUGACGUCGGAUACCUAAAACCUAGAC
rnacentral:lncRNA from 1 species